CACACACACACACGUUCCUUCUCUGAAAUUACACCUGCUCCACGGGGUCGAUGUCCUUUACACCACAGAGGGCGUAAGACUUUAUAAGCCUGGCACAUCACUGUUUCAGUAAUGUGUUGUGGUGCUGCAUGAAUGAAUCAAAUUGCCACAAUGAAUGAUGGGAUUAUUUCCAUAAGAGGUUUGGGAAAGGUCAUGUUCAAAUUGGUUCCUGUGAGACUUUAAGCAACCUAAGAGUAUAUGGACAAUGAUUGAUGACGGCCCAGCCUGAAGAAUAGUGAAGUCAAGCAAUGACUGUGAAAACUGAACCACAGGUUAGACUCCAAUAUAUUCACAAACAAUGGAAAGAGAACAUAUUUAUUCCCUCAAACUGUGAACUACUGUGUCUAUGGGAAAAGGGUAUGUUAUUGAUUUACAUACAGACAUAAUGCCCUUUCUGUCAAUCCCAACAGGUCAUGACAGAUAUCCAGUUGGCAUGAAAAACAUUGUUCCAUUGAAAGACUUGCAAAAAUUAUGCAAAGAGGAUCUUGAUAAUAUUCAUGAUAAAGAUGUUUGGAAAAAAAUGUUUCCUCCCUUUCUCUUUGUGAAGAAUUCAAAGUGACACCAUAUAGGAUAUUACGUAGGCAACACAGAACACCUCAUGUUCUGAACAAAAUGUAUCCUAUUAGAUCUCUUUUGUGUAUUAAGUGUAAAUUGACAGCUGGAACUUACAUGCAUUGCUUUCACAGUUGAUCGAAUAUAACUAUGUUCUGGUAAUGUAAAGCCAAGAGAUUAUUACUGGUUUUGUGUUUGAUUUCAGCCUUAAAAUUACAGUGUAGAUAUUUACUACAUAUGGGGCAUCAAUAAAAUCCAUACCAGGUCCCUAGAGACAAAAGGGAAGAUGACUCUCUCAAUGUACUUACACAGAAUAGAAAUAACAAUAAAAGAAUACAAUACUAAAAAUAAACAUAAAAUAAAAUGUCUAUAUACAAGUCAAGUGUUCAUAAAUUGUAACAAUACAAAUAGUGCAAAGAAAUAAAUACUGGAUGAUUAUGUACAGUAUGUACAUGUGAAGAUGUCUAUAUGUACAGCAUGUAGGAUUUAUAUUUACAGUGACAGGUAUGUACAUAUUACAAUAUGUACAUAAAGUGACAGAUGGUAUGUACAGAUUACAAAAAAAAUUGCAUUAAAGACUGUAAAUUAUAAUCUGAAAAUGUUCAUUAAAGACAGUAAGAAUUAUAAUCUAUAACAGCAGCAGCGGAUAUUUGGUGUUAAAGGGUUAUUGACAGUAUAAGUAGCUUUCCUAAACUGUACAUUUAUUAGAGUGAAUUAGAGUUCAGUAACUUUCCUAAACCAAAAACAAUGGAAAGAGGUAAAAAGUGUGAAAAUACGUAAAUGUCAAUUGAAUGCAAUUCACGCCCCUAUCAAAUUCAAUUAAGCUGCCUGAAAUCCCUCCCGAUCACUGCCGGGAUGUUUCCCUGCAGACUGAGCCUGAGCUGCAAUACACUUCAUCAUCCGAGAAGUUGGGACAGAAAUCCAUUUCAACACAGGGUUUUAACAGUGUUAUCAGCAGCCCCAGAGAGAGAAGAGAGGUGACACAUGGUCUCCAGAGUCCUAUUCAGCACAU